ensembl:lncRNA
AACCAGCCCUCACGAACAAAUUGAGUUUGUUCUCCAAGAACCAGGAUGUCUUCAACUGAUCUACUCUUGCCCUUGAGCAUCAUAGUAUCACAAGACCAUUGAGGCCUCAGCUAUGACUGGAGGCAAAAUGGAGUUAUGUUUCUGCAUGCCAUAGCCAGCUCACAUUGGGCCUUAGACAGGAUCAUGAAUGUGUUCCCCUCCGAGCCUGCAUCCAACCAGCUCACCCUUACUCCUUCUCCAGCUGUCUGGGUCCUGAAGCAGCCAUCACUGUCACUGGGUUGGAAAUAGCCACGGGUCCUGGUAAGACCAUAAGGCUGCUGACCUUCCAGCAUCAUCCGUCCCCAGUCAGGGCACC